rnacentral:sRNA from 1 species
GCCGGGCAUGGUGGUGCAUGCCUGUGAUCCCAGCUGCUUGGGAGGCUGAGACAGGAGGAUCAUCACAAGUUCAAAGUCAGCCUCAGCAAUGGUGAGGGGCUAAGCAGCUCAGUGAGGCCCUGUCUCUA